UACGAACCGAGCGAACGUUGUUCGGAAUCACUGGGCUUAAAGGGCGCGUAGGCGGGCUGCCAAGUCUGUGGUGAAAUCCUCCAGCUUAACUGGAGAACGGCCGUGGAUACUGGCGGUCUCGAGGAAGGUAGGGGCAAGCGGAACUGUGCGUGGAGCGGUGAAAUGCGUUGAUAUGCACAGGAACGCCGGUGGCGAAGGCGGCUUGCUGGACCUUUUCUGACGCUGAGGCGCGAAAGCUAGGGGAGCGAACGGG
rnacentral:rRNA from 1 species